CUCAACCCAAGGCCUGCACGAGAAACUACCGGGCUUGAGUGAUGGAGAGGUGAGUGGAAUUUCCGGUGUAGCGGUGAAAUGCGUAGAUAUCGGAAGGAACACCUGUGGCGAAASSSGCUCACUGGACAUUAACUGACGCUGAUGCACGAAAGCUAGGGGAGCAAACAGGAUUAGAUACCCUGGUAGUCCUAGCCCUAAACGAUGAUCGCUUGAUGUGGCAGGUACCCAAUCCUGCCGUGUCGAAGCUAACGCGAUAAGCAUCCGCCUGGGGAGUACGGUCGCAAGMMUGAAACUCAAAGGAAUUGAC
rnacentral:rRNA from 1 species